rnacentral:rRNA from 1 species
ACUAACAGGAUUCCCCUAGUAACUGCGAGUGAAGCGGGAAGAGCUCAAAUUUAAAAUCUGGCGGUCUUCGGCCGUCCGAGUUGUAUUCUGGAGAAGUGCUUUCCGCGCUGGACCGUGUAUAAGUCUCUUGGAACAGAGCGUCAUAGAGGGUGAGAAUCCCGUCUUUGACACGGACUACCAGUGCUUUGUGAUGCGCUCUCAAAGAGUCGAGUUGUUUGGGAAUGCAGCUCAAAAUGGGUGGUAAAUUCCAUCUAAAGCUAAAUAUUGGCGAGAGACCGAUAGCGAACAAGUACCGUGAGGGAAAGAUGAAAAGCACUUUGGAAAGAGAGUUAAACAGUACGUGAAAUUGUUGAAAGGGAAACGCUUGAAGUCAGUCGCGUUGGCCGGGACUCAGCCUUGCCUUUCGCUUGGUGUAUUUUCCGGUUGACGGGCCAGCAUCGAUUUUGACUGCUGGACAAGGGCUGGAGGAAUGUGGCACCUCCGGGUGUGUUAUAGCCUCUGGUCGUAUACAGUAGUUGGGAUCGAGGACCGCAGCUUCGGCUUAGGAUGCUGGCGUAAUGGCUUUAAACGACCCGUCUUGAAACACGGACCAAGGAGUCUAACAUGCCUGCGAGUAUUUGGGUGGAAAACCCGGAUGCGUAAUGAAAGUGAAAGUUGAGACCUCUGUCGUGGAGGGCAUCGACGCCCGGACCUGAUCUUCGGUGACGGAUCUGCGGUAGAGCAUGUAUGUUGGGACCCGAAAGAUGGUGAACUAUGCCUGAAUAGGGUGAAGCCAGAGGAAACUCUGGUGGAGGCUCGUAGCGAUUCUGACGUGCAAAUCGAUCGUCAAAUUUGGGUAUAGGGGCGAAAGACUAAUCGAACCAUCU